rnacentral:rRNA from 1 species
UACGGGGGGGGCAAGCGUUGUUCGGAAUUACUGGGCGUAAAGCGUGCGCAGGCGGCUUUGCAAGUCAGACGUGAAAUCCCCGGGCUUAACCUGGGAAUGGCGUUUGAAACUACGGAGCUGGAGUGUGGCAGAGGGAGGUAGAAUUCCACGUGUAGCGGUGAAAUGCGUAGAUAUGUGGAGGAAUACCGAUGGCGAAGGCAGCCUCCUGGGCCAACACUGACGCUCAUGCACGAAAGCGUGGGGAGCAAACAGG